UACGGGGGGAGCAAGCGUUGUUCGGAUUUACUGGGCGUAAAGGGCGCGUAGGCGGCCACCGCAAGUCGACUGUGAAAUCUCCGGGCUUAACCCGGAAAGGUCAGCCGAUACUGCGGGGCUAGAGUGCAGAAGGGGCAACUGGAAUUCUCGGUGUAGCGGUGAAAUGCGUAGAUAUCGAGAGGAACACCUGCGGCGAAGGCGGGUUGCUGGGCUGAUACUGACGCUGAGGCGCGAAAGCCAGGGAGCGAACAGG
rnacentral:rRNA from 1 species